GUGAGUCAUCGAAUCUUUGAACGCACCUUGCGCCCUUUGGUAUUCCGAAGGGCAUGCCUGUUUGAGUGUCAUUAAAUUAUCAACCUUGUUCGCUUUUACGAGCUUGAGCGAGGCUUGGAUGUGAGGGCUUGCUGGCUUCCUUCAGUGGAUGGUCUGCUCCCUUUAAAUGCAUUAGUGGGAUCUCUUGUGGACCGUCACUUGGUGCGAUAAUUAUCUAUGCCAUUUGACUGUGAAGCAAAAUUAUGGGAACCUGCUUAUAACCGUCUCGCAAGGGACAAUUUAAUUGACUAUUUGACCUCA
rnacentral:misc_RNA from 1 species